rnacentral:ncRNA from 2 species
CUGACAUGUGUGCGAGUCAAUGGGCGAUUAAACUUGCAAGGCAUAAGGAAGCUGCCUGGCAGGAUCCCCUUGAGGGUUGCACCGCCGACUGACCUUGAUCUUCUAAGAAGGGUUUGAGUGAGAGCAUGCAUGUCGGUACCCGAAAGAUGGUGAACUAUGAUCAAGCCGGGCGAAGCUAGAGAAAACUUUGGUGGAGGCUCGUAGCGAUACUGACGUGCAAAUCGUUUGUCUAACUUGGGUAUAGGGGCGAAAGAUUAAUCGAACAGUCUAGUAGAUGG